CUGCUUCCUUCAACAGCACAUAUACUAAAAUUGGAAUCAUACAAAUAUUACCAUGGCCCUUAUGGAAGGAUGACAUGGAAAUCUGUAAAGUCUUUCAAGAGGGA
ensembl:snRNA U6 U6 spliceosomal RNA